CGGGCUCCGGCGCGCGCCCCCGUGGAGACCCAGGCGGCGGUGGGUGGGGGAAGACGCGACCGGUCCGGUCGCCGCGCCCCAGUGGAAAACGCUCCCUAGCAGGAAGCUAGCAAAUCGGAGCCUGGAGUCCCGCGCCCGCUGUCGGACGGGGCCGCUGCGGCAUCAGGAGGGGCGGACCGACGGCCUCCUUCCCGCCUGCGCGACCAGCCAAGUGCGGCAGGGUCCUGCGGGUCCAGCCCGAGUCCACCACAGACAACUUGAUGGCUCAGAAUCCUGCCUGACUCGGGCGGGCCGCCUGCCUGCUGGGCAGCCCCUCGCCAGUGCCUGCCUCCGGGAUCUGGGGACUGGGCUCGCUCUCCUCUCGGGCCCUGGCGCCCGACGCAAGAUGGCUGUGUCGCCUCGGCCUCUAAACAAUGUGUGGAGCGCGCAGCUCCUGAACCGGGGCCCGGCGGCCUGUCCUGCCCGCCCCUGGGGGCCGUGUGAUCUGUUUUCGGAAACCAAAAUAUUUAUUGUUGGAUUUAUCCAGGAAGGCUGUUCUACAUCAGUUAAAUCCAUCAUAUCUUCAAGAAAUAUUAAAUGACAUGAGUAGUGUUCUCUUUGUAUGCUGGAUUUUUCAAUAGCUUCUACUUCUUGGCUUUUAAAAAUAUUUCUAACCAAGGGUCAGACCAUUUUAGGUAGAGUAGUUAUGAUCUUAGAUUAUUUGAACUAACUCAGCUGUCCGUUUGCAAAAUGGGAAUCAUGUUUAUCUCUAUGGAGGUAGGCCACAAAUUCUUUCUAGUAGGUUCAAGUACUGAGGCAUCUGGAGAGGUGACUGGUUAGCCUCCUAGUGGCUUCAGGAAGUUUUCUCACUGAGUGAGUAUUUAUUGAGUGCAAACUCUGCUCAGCACAAUUCAGGGGUGCUGGGAAUGGAGCAGUGAAUAACACAAGCAGUGUUCCUGCCCUCAUGGGGCUUAUGAUCUCUGGAAGCACUGCUUUGCAGAGGGAAGUAGCACCAGGAGGGGCAAAAGAAAGAGGGGCUUUGGAGCCCCAAGAUUGAGAAAACGAUAACCAAGGAGAGAGGGGAACUGUAGAGUCCAGAUAAUGGGGGAGGAGAGCUGCCAGAGCAAGAAGGGAUUCUCACCAGUGGUUAGUCCUGAAUUGGUUUUGCUAGAACUCAGGCCCAGCACAGUGGCUCAUGUCUGUAAUCCUAGCACUUGGGAGUCCAAGUCCUAGGUGGGUGGAUCACUUGAGAUCAGGAGUUUGAGACCAGCCUGGCCAACAUGUAAUAACCCGGUCUCUACUAAAAAUGUAAAGAAAUUAGCCAGUGUGGUGGCACACACCUGUAAUCCCAGAUACUUAGGAGGCUGAGGUGGCAGCAUUGCUUUAAUUGGGGAGGUGGAGGUUGCAGUGAGCAGAGAUUUUGCCACUGCACUUCAGCCUGGGUGACAGAGACUCCAUCUCAAAAAAAAAAAAAGAUAGAAUUCUUGGGGUUAAUAAUGGCUUCAACAUUUGCAGUUAAAAAAAAUGGGGAGGACGGGAGCAAAAGCUUUUAAGUUAAAAUAUUUUCCCUAAAAUAGAGUACUUAUGGCCAUGAAUUUAGAUUUGUUUAUAAGUAGAAAAGUAGAAUGGAAAGGAUUUUAAAAGCAACGCUAUUCAGAUAUGCUUGGCUCCUGUCAAUUAACUGCAAAGAUUACUGCCUCGUGGAGACGUUUCUGGUCACUCCAGUGGUAUCUCCAUGCACACUUUAUCACAUUGAUUUCACAUCACCUUUUUAUCACCUCAGUUUACAUCUGUCAUUUGUUCACUUGCUUAUUGUCCGUUUCCUCCCCAAAGAAUAUAACCUCUGAGAUAAUAAUGGUCUUAUCUGCUUUUUUCCCCUACUGUUUCUAAUCAUUUGCUGUACCUUUUUAGUGGUCUGGACAGAUCAAACCAGCUACAACAUUCCUUGAGCCAAAGCUAAUUCAGAUCACAGUCCUAGCUCUCUUCAAUUCUCUGAAUCCUAAGAGAGGUGAGGAAACUGCAGAAGAGUUUGAAGCGAGCAGAGGUUAAUGAGGUUGAAGUAACAAAGCCAUGUCUGUAGCAUAAAAGUGCAAGAUGAAGCAUCAGGUGAUCUGAAAGAUCUAAGAUCAUUGAUGAAGGUGGUUACACUAAAUAACAGAUUUUUGUUGUAGAUGAAACAGUUUCUAUUGGAAGAAGAUGCCUUCUAGGACUUUCAUAGCUAGAGAAGAGAAAUCGGUGCCUGGCUUCAAGUUUCAAAGGAUAGGAUGAUUCUCUUGUUGGGGCUAACACAGCUGUGACUUUAAGUGGAAGUCAGUGCUCAUUACCAUGCUGAAAAUCCUAGGGCCUUUAAGAAUUAUGCUAAAUCUACUCUGCCUGUGCUCUAGAAAUGGAGCAACAAAGCCUGAUGACAGCACAUCAUUUAUAGCAUGGUUCACUUUUUUUUUUUUUUUUGAGACAGUUUUGCUCUUCCUGCCCAGGCUGGAUGCUGUGGUGCCAUCUUGGCUCACCACAACUUCCGCCUCCCGGGUUCAAGUAAUUCUCCUGCCUCAACCUCCUGAGUAGCUGGGAUUACAGGCAUGUGUGACUACGCCCAGUUUAUGUUGUAUUUUUAGUAGAGACAGGGUUUCUCCAUGUUGGUCAGGCUGGUCUUGAACUCCCAACCUCAGGUGAUCCGCAUAUCUCAGCCUCCCAGAGUGCUGGGAUUAUAGGUGUGAGCCAGUUUUUUUUUUUUUUUUUGAGAUGCAGUCUCAUUCUUGUCGCCCAGGCUGGAGUGCAGUGGUGCAGUCUUGGCUCCCUGCAGCCUCUGCCUCCCGGGUUCAAGUGAUUCUCCUGUCUCAGUCUCCUGAGUAGCUGGGAUUACAGGCACCCACCACCAUGCCCAGCUAAUUUUUGUACUUUGAGUGGAAAUGGAGUGUCGCCAUGUUGACCAGGCUGGUCUCAAACUCCUGACCUCAGGUGAUCCGCCCACCUCAGCCUCCCAAAGUGCUGAGAUUACAGGCAUGAGCCACUACGACCGGCUGCAAGGUUUACUAUUUUAAGCCCACUGUGGAGACCCAGUGCUCAGAAAAAAAGAUUCCUUUCAAAACAUUACUGUUCAUUGACAGUGCACUUAGUUGCCCAAGGGCUCUAAUGGAGAUGGACGAGGAGAUGAGCGUCGUUUUCAUGCUUGCUAACACAACAUUCUGCAGCCUGUGGAUCAAUGAGCAAUUUCAACUUUUUUUUUUUUUGUGAUGGGGUCCCACUCUGUCACCCAGGUUGAAUGCAAUGGUGUGAUCUCAGGUCACUACAACUUCAACCUCCCAGGCUCAGUUGACCCUCCUACCUCAGCCUCCCCAGGAGCUGGGACUACAGGUGCAUGCCACCAGUUCUGGCUAAUUUUUUUUUUUUUUUUUUGAGAUGGAGUCUUGUUCUUUUGCCAGGCUGGAGCGUAGUGGCGCAAUCUCAGCUCACUGCAACCUCCGCCUCCUGGGUUCAAUUGAUUCUUCGCUUCAGCCUACUGAGUAGCUGGAACCAAAGGCGUGUGCCAGCACGCCCGGCUAAUUUUUGUAUUUUAGUAGAGACAGAGUUUCACCAUGUUGGUCAGGAUGGUCUUGAUCUCUUGACCUCGUGAUCUGCCCUCCUCGGCCUCCCAAAGGACUGAGAUUACAGGUGUGAGCCACUGUGCCCGGCCAUAUUUCUUGAACACCCACAGUAGCUUAAGUCACACGUACUUACCAGGAGUCACUGAUGAAAGAGAGGUUCAUUGUCAUUCCAAAGUGCACUCUACACUCAUUAGGAAAUAAGGUCACAUUAUUUCCACUAACAUUAAACGCAGGUGAUACGGAUAUUAGUAAAAGUCUUUCUAUAUCUGCUGUUUGGCCCCUACAAAUUUUUUUUCUUUUUAAAUAGAGACAGGAUCUUGCUCUGUUGCUUGGGCUGAAGUGCAGUGGCUCAUAGCUCAUCAUAACAUCCAACUCAUAGGCUCACGUGAUCCUCCCACCUCAGCCUCCUGAGUAGCUAGGAUAUAGGCACAUGCCACCAUGGCCAGAUAAUUUUUAAAUUUUUAUUUCAUAGAGAUGUCACAUAGAGAUGGGAUCUUGCUGUGUUGGCCAGGCUGGUCUCAAACUCCUGGCCUCAAGUGAUCCUCCUGCCUCAGCCUCCCAAAGCACUAGGAUUAGAGCUAUGAGCCAUUGCACCCAACACUCUUACAAAUUUUCAUUUGUGGAUAUGAAAUCCCCUGACUCCCUAAUAAGCCGAAUGCUUUAAAAUUUAAAGGUUAACAUGUUUAUUAGAAAGGGGAAAAUAGGCCGAGCAUGGUGGCUCAUGCCUAUAAUCUCAGCACUUUGGAAGGCCAAGUUGGUCAGAUCACCUGAGAUCACGAGUUUGAGACCAGCCUGGCAAACAUGGCGAAAUUCCGUCUCUACUAAAAAUACAAAAAAUUUGCUGGACAUGGUGAUAUGCACCUGUAGUCCCAGCUACUUGGAAGGCUGAGAUAGGAGAAUCACUUGAGCCGAGAAGGCAGAGAUUGCAGUGAACCAAGAUCUUGCCACUGCACUUAAUCCUGGGUAACAGAUCGAGACUCCGUCUCAAAAAAAAAAAUUUAUAUUAUGUAUAGUAAUGUAUUUUAUAAUUCGUUAUUGUAUUAUAUAUUAUAUAAUGUUAUAUAUUAUGUAUAAAUAAUAACAUUAUUAUUAGAGGGUCCAUCAGAUAGCUGAGAAAAACAUAGCUAAUAUUUACUGAGGAUUUAUGGUAUGCCAGACCCUGUGUUGAAUGUUAGAUGCACUUUCUCAAUAAUAAUAAUAAUAAUAUGUCUAUUAUUCUGCCCCAGUUACAGAUGAAGAAAUAGGCUAAGGAAGGUCAGGUAACUGAGCAGGAUAACAAGUGGCAGGGUGGGGACUCCACCCCUGAAUCUGCUCAGCAGCCCAGGCUCUGCUGCCCAUAUGAUUCACAAGCAUUUGUUUGGCUAAAAUUAGUUACAGACAGUUAUCAGAAAUUUACUUUUAAAAUCUUUAAAAUUGCCACAUUUUAUUAUAUUUUUACCUAUCAAGAAUUGGUCCAUUUUUCUAGAGUGCCAUGUAAAUGUACUAAUAACCACACAACAAAUUGCUAAAAUUGAUAAACAUGUAUAUUUCAAAGAUUAUUAAUGAUAAUGCAUAAUGCUAAAAGCUGCAGUAAUUUUCAAAGAGAGUAGUACCUAGAUACAAGAGUCCUGCAGUAAGGAAGGUGAAUAACCACUCAUGUGCCAUGAAGCGGCAGUUAGUGUAUUAGUGGUGCUUCACAAAUACUUUUCUGUCAUCUUUGAGGUAGAGGAGCACUGCUAUUCCAUAGCAUCCAGAGAGAUGCAGCCAGGAUGAAACUCAGAAGCCCAGGGACAGGAUCCCUGAACUCAGCCAUAAGAUCCCAGAACUCAGUUUUUCUGCUCCCCUGGAAUGUGUUUUUCAGAACUGCCACGUGAGGCUGAAGGGCCAGGACACUGGAUCCAGGCUUAUGAAAUGGACAAGACCAAUGUGAAAUGGCCUGGUUCUUUGCAGGUGCCCAUUAAAUUUUCUUUUCCCCUUCUCUUAUUCAAUAAUUAGCUAUUUGGUUUGUGU